rnacentral:rRNA from 1 species
CUACGGGAGGCAGCAGUGGGGAAUAUUGCACAAUGGGCGAAAGCCUGAUGCAGCAACGCCGCGUGAGCGAUGAAGGCCUUCGGGUCGUAAAGCUCUGUCCUCAAGGAAGAUAAUGACGGUACUUGAGGAGGAAGCCCCGGCUAACUACGUGCCAGCAGCCGCGGUAAUACGUAGGGGGCUAGCGUUAUCCGGAAUUACUGGGCGUAAAGGGUGCGUAGGCGGUCUUUCAAGCCAGAAGUGAAAGGCUACGGCUCAACCGUAGUAAGCUUUUGGAACUGUAGGACUUGAGUGCAGGAGAGGAGAGUGGAAUUCCUAGUGUAGCGGUGAAAUGCGUAGAUAUUAGGAGGAACACCAGUAGCGAAGGCGGCUCUCUGGACUGUAACUGACGCUGAGGCACGAAAGCGUGGGGAGCAAACAGGAUUAGAUACCCUGGUAGUCC